GUUCGAUCUCAAAUCAGGUAGG
rnacentral:rRNA from 1 species